rnacentral:snRNA from 1 species
AGCAGCGGCAGAACUCAUCACCUACCACAUUCCUCGCCUUUUACUAGGAAUGUCAUGGCGAGUUCUGUACCUUCAACACUGCGUCUCAAUAUUUGGGCUCUUCGAACUCUUCGAGUUU